AGUUUGAUCCUGGCUCAGGAUGAACGCUAGCGGCAGGCUUAAUACAUGCAAGUCGUGGGGCAGCACAGGUAGCAAUACUGGGUGGCGACCGGCAAACGGGUGCGGAACACGUACGCAACCUUCCUUUAAGUGGGGGAUAGCCCAGGGAAACUUGGAUUAAUACCCCUUAAUAUUAUGAGAUGGCAUCAUUUUAUAAUUAAAGCUCCGGCGCUUAAAGAUGGGCGUGCGCCUGAUUAGGUAGUUGGCGGGGUAACAGCCCACCAAGCCUACGAUCAGUAACUGGUGUGAGAGCACGACCAGUCACACGGGCACUGAGACACGGGCCCGACUCCUACGGGAGGCAGCAGUAAGGAAUAUUGGUCAAUGGACGCAAGUCUGAACCA
rnacentral:rRNA from 1 species